rnacentral:ncRNA from 2 species
CGCUAUCAUCAUUUAUUCCAUUAUUACCUUCAUUCUCCCCGAAUGAGAUGUACAACUUAUUAUUUCCCGCCGGACAAAUUGUCCGGCAUUUUUU